ACCUGGGAUAGCUCAGUCAGAAGAGCAUGAGGCUCUGAAUCUGAAGGUUGUGGGUUCGAGCCCCAGGUUGGGCA